AUGGGUUAUGUAAUCUACAUAUCGUUCCCGGCGAUUCUUCUCCUUCUGAUCGUCGCUAUCGCCUUUUAUCUCAUCGGACGAAAAAUCGGCCGGAGAGAAGGGAUUCAAUCAACGUCGCAGUUACACUACGGACCGCCGUUGGCUAAUUUUCCGGCACCUGCACCACCGCAUAAAGCUAUGGAGAAGCCACCGGAGCCGGUUUAG